CCAUGCUGUCGACCGGCCGAGCACAAACAAACAUUCUAAAUUUUAAAACAAUCUAUUUUUCUGGAUUUCUGGUGUGCGUAUCCCUCUUAAUUUAUUGCGAAUGGGAAGUCUAUAACUGUAACGCCAUACCACUAUAUUUCAUUCUACAAAAUUGUAAUCAAGUAAAUGUCGCAAAACGAAGACUCAAAAUAGUAUGACAGAACUACAAACUGUGUGAGUGUCCGUAUGCAUAUACAUAUAAUAAAAGCUUUAAAAACAUUACCUCAUGAUAUAUAUUAUAUAAAUUUUAAUAUUAUUAGUUGACCGCUUUAGGCUAUAUAAGUAUAUUAUAUAGCUACAUAUGUAUAAGAAGC